GGAGGGUGCAAGCGUUGUUCGGAUUUAUUGGGCGUAAAGCGCGUGUAGGCGGUUUCUUAAGUCUGAUGUGAAAGCCCUGGGCUCAACCCAGGAAGUGCAUUGGAUACUGGGAAACUUGAAUACGGGAGAGGGUAGUGGAAUUCCUAGUGUAGGAGUGAAAUCCGUAGAUAUUAGGAGGAACACCGGUGGCGAAGGCGGCUACCUGGACCGAUAUUGACGCUGAGACGCGAAAGCGUGGGGAGCAAACAGGAUUAGAUACCCUGGUAGUCCACGCCGUAAACGAUGAGAACUAGGUGUUGCGGGUAUUGACCCCUGCAGUGCCGCAGCUAACGCAUUAAGUUCUCCGCCUGGGAAGUACGGUCGCAAGACUA
rnacentral:rRNA from 1 species